rnacentral:lncRNA from 1 species
CUGAAACGGUAUAUAAAGCAAAGCGACGCGUUCAUCCGGUCUCAUUCUUCUGCAGUUCCUCAAAGGCGAGUCUAGGUAAUUCAUUGUUUCCUUUAAUCGCAGUUGUCUAAUGUAAUAUUGGUUGUCGUUGUGUAAUGUAGAUAUUUGUUAUCCAUCAUAAGAGGUUUUAUUUUAAUAUUGUUUUAAUUUAACUAGAUUCUGGAAAAAAGGGCGUCGCUAGGUCGCAGUGCGGUCCACGUGUUACAGGCCUCGAACAUGCGCUAAAAUUAAUAAUUAAAUGCUAAUAUGCUUCAACUAGGUUUCGAAGGAAAUAUUUUAAUAUUAAUCUGACUAAACCAAUUAAUUAACGUUUAAUUCAGUAGUGGUCCACGUGGUUGGUAGGUGUGUUGUAGCGACUCAUUACCUCAUGUUCAGAUGAUGAUACAUGAUGUUGGUAGGGACAUCUGAGAAUAUAUGAUGAGUACCAACAUCUCUGAUGUGCAUGGUUCUGCCUGCAAUAUUUUGUUUAAUGUAACUUGCAAAGCCUUUGAGUGUUUCGCUCUCUCUCUGUCUCUUUCUCCAGUAUCCGGGGUAUUGAUUGAUUGAACGCGCGAGACGACUGGACUCUGGAGCGGAUCUGGAGAAGUGUGUCCAAGGAAUGUGGUGUGACUCUGGAACACCGUGUCAAAGGAACAUGUGCAGUGAAGUUGAUUUGAAAGGUAAGCUUUUUAAAGCGUUUUCUAAAGUGACUCCUAGGCUGCAGUCGUUCACUGUUUAUGAUGAUUGUUUUAUAAAACAAUGGGAAUCUCUCUGAAUUUGACUGAAAGACAUCCGUGUACUGAAACAGUGCUUAUUUAAGACGUUAUCCUCUUUGCCUUUAUUCUGUACUAACAACGUUUCAUUAUUACAGGUUGUUUUAGAUCCUGGCACGAGCGAUGAAGAUGCCAUCAGCUGAGCACGGUAUUAAUUUUGGAUUUUUAUUUUAUUUUUUAUAUACUUUCUGUGAUGCAAAUGAUGACCGCAUAGUUCAGCAGAAAAUCCAUGAAGAACGCUAAGCAUUGUCUUUCGCUCCUAGCUGAUGCAUCACUGGUGUUCUAGAUCUAUGUCUUUGUAGUUGCGGUGUCUUACUCUUGUUUGUGUUUGCAGCGCGGUGUCUUACUCUUGUUUGUGUUUGCAGCAUGAGUUCUGCAGGGGUGCAAGCAUCUCUGGUGAGUUUGAGAUUCUGAAAUUUGUUAUAUGUAAGAUAUGAUGCAAAUGAUGACCGCAUAGUUCAGCAGAAAAUCCAUGAAGAACACAAAGCAUUGUCUUUCGCUCCUAGCUGAUGCAUCACUGGAGCUCUUAUAUCUUUACUUGAGUUGUUGCUUUGUCUUACACUCUUUUCUCUUUGCAGAAUGAGUUCUACAGGGGUGGAAGUGUUUACUUUAAUUCUGGCUGUGGAAAGAUCAGCAGCUGUCUGAAUGUUCUUCAGGGUAAGUGGUUAACUUGAAUUGUGAAUGGAACCAAGGUGGUCUCAAACUGAUGAGUUCGAAUCAGGUCUCUGAUCUUUUUGAGGACAUGUUAACACAUUCUGACUUAAGACCACAUAAUGGUGCAUUUUAACUCCUUAAAAGCAGGAUGGUGAGUUUAAUUGUCCUUUUGUGUCUUUUAGGACUGAUCGGCAUGAUGUGCUGAUGGGAGUCACUGUUAAGUUUAGGGUUUUUUUUUUUUUAUUUUUAAUUUAUAUUAGCUCUGGCUGAUCUGGUCACAUGAUAAAAUCCUGGUCUUCAUGGAUGUGUUCUGUUCUAACAGGCAUGUGCUCAUUGACAGGUGCGGUGGUGACUGCUCCUUCAUGCUGUGUGAAUAUGAAUGCGGCAUGCACUUGUAAAGGUUAGUUUUUGUUUCCAGAUGUUCAAAAGUAUCUUUCAUGGUUGGGUUUUGUGAUGCUUUGCAAAUGUCUGACCUGAACACACAAUGUGGAUAAGCUUUGACUGAAACCCAGGUCUUGGCUUGGGGCAGAGUGUUGAAUGUGACCAACUAACUAAUGGCAGUCUCUUUUUAGGAAGCACAAUAUCCAGGACGGCUCUGGAAAAACCAGAUUGUAUAAGGUAUGUUUGACUCAUGUGUUUUUUUUUUUUUUAUUUUUUUAAAUUUUUACUUUCUAACCUAGUGAUGACAUGAUUCUUGCCAGAUGAAUCUGCUGAUUAUUAUCCUUUUACCGUUUCCAUAUAUCUGAGGUUGGCCUGCAUCCGGACUCUUCUGAACUAUAUUCCAGAGCUUCGGUUCUUGUAUUGUUUUCUGAUUUGAAGUCACUUGUCUCUUUGCAGCAAUUAAGUGACAUUUAAAUGCCGUCAUCUACAUUUGUUAUAACUAGGCCAAGUUUGUAAAGUGUCCUUACUUCAAUAAAGUUGUAAAAUCAAAGGUCUUUCAAGUUUAUAAGGUUGUUGAUGUGUGAUUGUUUGGUUAAUCUCUUAUCAGUGUUGACCAAUUAACAGGCCUUUCAGGCAUUUGGUAGUAUGCAAUAUGACUAGUGUCUUUAUACUUUGAGUACUUGUACAGAGCAUUUACACUUGGAUAUUUGCCUGAUUUUGAAAGAUUUACACAUAGCUAACAUCUG